AGGGCGCACGGUGGAUGCCUUGGCACUAGAAGCCGAAGAAGGACGUUACUAACGACGAUAUGCUUUGGGUAGCUGUAAGUAAGCGUUGAUCCAGAGAUUUCCGAAUGGGGGAACCCAACAUGAGUUAUGUCAUGUUAUCGACAUGUGAAUUCAUAGCAUGUCAGAAGGCAGACCCGGAGAACUGAAACAUCUUAGUACCCGGAGGAAGAGAAAGAAAAAUCGAUUCCCUGAGUAGCGGCGAGCGAAACGGGAAGAGCCCAAACCAACAAGCUUGCUUGUUGGGGUUGUAGGACACUCUAUACGGAGUUACAAAAGAACAUGUUAGACGAAUCAUCUGGAAAGAUGAAUCAAAGAAGGUAAUAAUCCUGUAGUCGAAAACAUAUUCUCUCUUGAGUGGAUCCUGAGUACGACGGAGCACGUGAAAUUCCGUCGGAAUCUAGGAGGACCAUCUCCUAAGGCUAAAUACUCUCUAGUGACCGAUAGUGAACCAGUACCGUGAGGGAAAGGUGAAAAGUACCCCGGAAGGGGAGUGAAAGAGAACUUGAAACCGUGUGCUUACAAGUAGUCAGAGCCCGUUUAUGGGUGAUGGCGUGCCUUUUGUAGAAUGAACCGGCGAGUUACGAUCUGAUGCAAGGUUAAGCAGCGAAUGUGGAGCCGUAGCGAAAGCGAGUCUGAAUAGGGCGUUGAGUAUUUGGUCGUAGACCCGAAACCAGGUGAUCUACCCUUGGUCAGGUUGAAGUUCAGGUAACACUGAAUGGAGGACCGAACCGACUUACGUUGAAAAGUGAGCGGAUGAACUGAGGGUAGCGGAGAAAUUCCAAUCGAACUUGGAGAUAGCUGGUUCUCUCCGAAAUAGCUUUAGGGCUAGCCUCAAGUGAUGAUUAUUGGAGGUAGAGCACUGUUUGGACGAGGGGCCCCUCUCGGGUUACCGAAUUCAGACAAACUCCGAAUGCCAAUCAAUUUAACUUGGGAGUCAGAACAUGGGUGAUAAGGUCCGUGUUCGAAAGGGAAACAGCCCAGACCACCAGCUAAGGUCCCAAAAUAUAUGUUAAGUGGAAAAGGAUGUGGCGUUGCCCAGACAACUAGGAUGUUGGCUUAGAAGCAGCCAUCAUUUAAAGAGUGCGUAAUAGCUCACUAGUCGAGUGACACUGCGCCGAAAAUGUACCGGGGCUAAACAUAUUACCGAAGCUGUGGAUUGUCCUUCGGACAAUGGUAGGAGAGCGUUCUAAGGGCGUUGAAGCAUGAUCGCAAGGACAUGUGGAGCGCUUAGAAGUGAGAAUGCCGGUGUGAGUAGCGAAAGACGGGUGAGAAUCCCGUCCACCGAUUGACUAAGGUUUCCAGAGGAAGGCUCGUCCGCUCUGGGUUAGUCGGGUCCUAAGCUGAGGCCGACAGGCGUAGGCGAUGGAUAACAGGUUGAUAUUCCUGUACCACCUAGUAUCGUUUUAAUCGAUGGGGGGACGCAGUAGGAUAGGCGAAGCGUGCUGUUGGAGUGCACGUCCAAGCAGUAAGGCUGAGUGUUAGGCAAAUCCGGCACUCGUUAGGCUGAGCUGUGAUGGGGAGAGGAAAUUGUUUCCUUGAGUCGUUGAUUUCACACUGCCGAGAAAAGCCUCUAGAUAGAUAACAGGUGCCCGUACCGCAAACCGACACAGGUAGUCAAGAUGAGAAUUCUAAGGUGAGCGAGCGAACUCUCGUUAAGGAACUCGGCAAAAUGACCCCGUAACUUCGGGAGAAGGGGUGCUCUUUAGGGUUCACGCCCAGAAGAGCCGCAGUGAAUAGGCCCAAGCGACUGUUUAUCAAAAACACAGGUCUCUGCUAAACCGUAAGGUGAUGUAUAGGGGCUGACGCCUGCCCGGUGCUGGAAGGUUAAGAGGAGUGGUUAGCUUCUGCGAAGCCACGAAUCGAAGCCCCAGUAAACGGCGGCCGUAACUAUAACGGUCCUAAGGUAGCGAAAUUCCUUGUCGGGUAAGUUCCGACCCGCACGAAAGGCGUAACGAUUUGGGCACUGUCUCAACGAGAGACUCGGUGAAAUCAUAGUACCUGUGAAGAUGCAGGUUACCCGCGACAGGACGGAAAGACCCCGUGGAGCUUUACUGUAGCCUGAUAUUGAAAUUCGGCACAGCUUGUACAGGAUAGGUAGGAGCCAUUGAAACGUGAGCGCUAGCUUACGUGGAGGCGUUGGUGGGAUACUACCCUAGCUGUGUUGGCUUUCUAACCCGCACCACUUAUCGUGGUGGGAGACAGUGUCAGGCGGGCAGUUUGACUGGGGCGGUCGCCUCCUAAAAGGUAACGGAGGCGCUCAAAGGUUCCCUCAGAAUGGUUGGAAAUCAUUCACAGAGUGUAAAGGCAUAAGGGAGCUUGACUGCGAGACCUACAAGUCGAGCAGGGUCGAAAGACGGACUUAGUGAUCCGGUGGUUCCGCAUGGAAGGGCCAUCGCUCAACGGAUAAAAGCUACCCCGGGGAUAACAGGCUUAUCUCCCCCAAGAGUUCACAUCGACGGGGAGGUUUGGCACCUCGAUGUCGGCUCAUCGCAUCCUGGGGCUGUAGUCGGUCCCAAGGGUUGGGCUGUUCGCCCAUUAAAGCGGUACGCGAGCUGGGUUCAGAACGUCGUGAGACAGUUCGGUCCCUAUCCGUCGUGGGCGUAGGAAAUUUGAGAGGAGCUGUCCUUAGUACGAGAGGACCGGGAUGGACAUACCUCUGGUGUACCAGUUGUCGUGCCAACGGCAUAGCUGGGUAGCUAUGUAUGGACGGGAUAAGUGCUGAAAGCAUCUAAGCAUGAAGCCCCCCUCAAGAUGAGAUUUCCCAACUUCGGUUAUAAGAUCCCUCGAAGAUGACGAGGUUAAUAGGUUCGAGGUGGAAGCGUGGUGACACGUGGAGCUGACGAAUACUAAUCGAUCGAAGACUUAAUC
rnacentral:rRNA from 1 species